UACGGGGGGUGCGAGCGUUGUCCGGAAUCACUGGGCGUAAAGGGCGCGUAGGUGGUUUGAUAAGGGUGUGGUGAAAGUCCGGGGCUCAACCCCGGAUCUGCCGUGCCGACUGUCAAACUCGAGGGCUGUAGAGGCAGACGGAAUUCCGGGUGUAGCGGUGGAAUGCGUAGAGAUCGGGAAGAACAUCAGUGGCGAAGGCGGCCUGCUGGGCUGUUGCUGACGCUGAGGCGCGACAGCGUGGGGAGCAAACAGG
rnacentral:rRNA from 1 species